rnacentral:sRNA from 1 species
UACCGCAGUUCGCGCCGAAAAUAUAAA